UAAUCGCGGAUCAGCAUGCCGCGGUGAAUACGUUCUCGGUCCUUGUACACACCGCCCGUCACACCAUGGAAGUGGAUUGCACCAGAAGUAGAUAGUCUAACCUUAGGGAGGGCGUUUACCACGGUGUGCUUCAUGACUGGGGUGAAGUCGUAACAAGGUAGCCGUAGGGGAACCUGUGGCUGGAUCACCUCCUU
rnacentral:rRNA from 1 species